rnacentral:sRNA from 2 species
GCGGCACCUCGUUCGGUGAGGCGUCUGCACGGACACAGGCCACUGACCUCACCCGUCGAGAGACGCUCCAGGUCAGGACAGGUCUCCCCGGCACAAGGGGUGACCCCAAGUGGCUUCCCGUACGUCAGGGAUAAGCCGUGCAGUGCCAAAGCUCUGACGAGGAGGGGUGUA